UACGUAGGGUGCGAGCGUUAAUCGGAAUUACUGGGCGUAAAGCGUGCGCAGGCGGUUUUGUAAGCCAGAUGUGAAAGCCCCGGGCUUAACCUGGGAAUGGCAUUUGGGACUGCAAGGCUUGAGUGCGGCAGAGGAGACUGGAAUUCCUGGUGUAGCAGUGAAAUGCGUAGAUAUCAGGAGGAAUACCGAUGGCGAAGGCAGGUCUCUGGGCUGACACUGACGCUCAUGCACGAAAGCGUGGGGAGCAAAAGGG
rnacentral:rRNA from 1 species